rnacentral:rRNA from 1 species
GACGAACGCUGGCGGCGUGCUUAACACAUGCAAGUCGAACGGAAAGGCCCUGCUUUUGUGGUGUGCUCGAGUGGCGAACGGGUGAGUAACACGUGAGUAACCUGCUCUCGACUUUGGGAUAACUUCAGGAAACUGGGGCUAAUACCGGAUAGGAGCUCCUGCUGCAUGGUGGGGGUUGGAAAGUUUCGGCGGUUGGGGAUGGACUCGCGGCUUAUCAGCUUGUUGGUGGGGUAGUGGCUUACCAAGGCGUUGACGGGUAGCCGACCUUAGAGGGGAACCGCGCACAUGGGGACUGAGAUACGGCGCAGACUGGUACGGGAGGCAGCAGUGGGGAAUAUGGCACAAUGGGCGGAAGCGUAAUGCAGCAACGCCGCGUGCGGGAAGACGGCCUUCGGGGUGUAAACCGCUUUCGCCUGUGACGAAGCGUGAGUGACGGUAAUGGGUAAAGAAGCACCGGCUAACUACGUG